GGCCCCAUCGUCUAGUGGCCCAGGACACGGCCCUCUCAAGGCUGAAACAGGGGUUCAAAUCCCCUUGGGGCUACCA
rnacentral:tRNA from 6 species